rnacentral:rRNA from 1 species
GACGAACGCUGGCGGCGUGCUUAACACAUGCAAGUCGAACGAUGAAGAAAAGAAUCGAAGCUUCGGCAGAAAUUCAUUUCGGAUUAGUGGCAGACGGGUGAGUAACGCGUGAGCAACCUACCUCUUACAAAGGGAUAGCCUCGGGAAACCGGGAUUAAUACCAUAUAACAUUGCGACGAAGCAUUUCGAUGCAAUCAAAGCUACGGCGGUAAGAGAUGGGCUCGCGUCCCAUUAACCGGAUGGUGAGGUAACGGCUCACCAUAGUGACGAUGGGUAACCGGCCUGAGAGGGUGAACGGUCACACUGGAACUGAGACACGGUCCAGACUCCUACGGGAGGCAGCAGUGGGGAAUAUUGCACAAUGGAGGGAACUCUGAUGCAGCGAUGCCGCGUGAGUGAUGAAGGAAUUCGUUUCGUAAAACUCUGUUCUAUGGGAAGAAAAGGACUGUACCAUAGGAGAAAGCUCCGGCUAAAUACGUG